GGCCAGAUAGCUCAGUUGGUUAGAGCAUUGACCUGAUACACCAACAUUGCAGGUUCAAUCUCCGGUCUGGGCA
rnacentral:tRNA from 1 species